GGCCCGGUAGUGGAUGGUUCGCACCUGCUCUCCAUAGUGGCGAUAUAGAACUGCAUCAUGCAUGCAGGGAACGCUCGUUCGACUCGAGCCCGGGCCA